UUCUAUUGCACCCCGUGACCCCCUAUUGUAGUACAAGUAAAGCCCAGCGCACUAACCAACUACCCAGCCUCGUUUUUGUAAUAGCCCGGCCCAAAUUGGCUUUCAUGAAUAACCUAGGUCGUUUUGUCCCCAGCCUCACCUAUUCGCUCCCACGCCGGCCGCCGCCCCUCGCGGCUGUGACCAACCUGCAUCCCGGCGCGCCGCCCCUCUUCACUCCCAUGUGGUCCUCCAUCCCGGUGGCCGCCAGCACCACUCCCCUGCAACACUGCAUCCCGGUGCGCCGCCCCUCGUCACCACUCCCCUAUGGUCCUCUCCUCCGUCCCGGCGCGCCGUCAGCACCACUCCCCUGCGACUCUGCAUCCCGGCGCGCCGCCCCUCGUCACCCCUCCCCUGCGACCAUUAGUGAAUCCAAGGAACAAAUGUUUGAGCCCUAGGUACGCAGAGAAGGUGGCGGCCAAAGAGUUUGAUUUGUGUAUCCGGUGUUCCUGCAUGAUGGUCUUGACUCGUGAGAGCUGAGAAGAUCCGUUUGGGCUUAAGAAAAUUCUGCAGUUGUUUCUGCACCUGAGUUCAUGGUCACGGUCUCAUGGAGGUAAGCUUCUGUAUGUUUGUUUGGCAGGCGAGCCAAGAAGUUACUUAAGCUUAUGAUUUGUGCCUUUUGUUCUUCAUCCACUAGGUAUAUGACUUAAAACCAGACUCAUACAUGACUGUCAUGGUAUUCAGUGUCCACAUAUUGCUUAGUUGUAGUAUCUCUAUGCUCUCUGCUACUACAAACUGAGGAGCAGCUUGAUAGCUUUACGCAGCUCGGUCGACUAGGCCACCGCGACGCUGUGGGAGAAGGACAUCGGUGCAGAGCAUGGCAAAGCUGAGUACUUGUUGGAUCUGAGGACUUCUGAUCCACAGUUCUCCGCAUUAUCAUCCAUCAGCAUCUGGUGACAUUAGCACUCAGCUGCAUAAGGCUUUCUCCCCACUACAGUUGGAGUUCAAGAGCGAAUGGAAGGUAAUCUGGCGAUCAAUCACUGUUGCUUGUCACAAAACUCUGAAAAAUAUUAUUGAGUACAUCUACCACGAGCUAUGCUUGCCAUUUAAAAAGAUGUUUAUGUGAGCUGCAUGUCAUAUCAUUUUUUUUAUGCAAGCAGAUCUUGCGAUUUACUUAUGAUUUAUGAACAGAAAUUGUUCACUGCGUAACCCCUAAUUACAGUAGAAGGGAAACAAAUCUUGUAAAACUACGCUGAGACAAGUAGUACUUAUUUAGUCAAGUAACAUGUUAGAUAAAAUUCCACACCUAUUACAACUUAUCUGACUUCUGUAUUUUUAAAGAUAACUGAACUAGUUUGUGUUCCAGGAAUACAAAACCAUGGGUGUUUUCCAUUUAUUCACUUGGCUUUUGGAAUUUGAUUGAUGUCCCCUUCUCCUAUUAUUAACUACAUAUACCUACAUGGUUCUGUUUGCUGGUUUGCCAAAUUCUAAACGCUUCUUUUGUGGUUCGUGCUUCCUCUUUAUACUAUGCUUGCCUACAUCCGUAGUCUCACUCCUUUAUUCUCUUGAUGUGCUUUUUCUUUACAAGGAAGAAUACACACCAUGGGGAAAAGAGAAGUAGAUUUGUAGCCUAUGGCCACUUUAUAUAUACUUCCAUGUUUCUGAUUCAUCAGGAGGUCAUGUACUGAUGGAUUGCAAAAAGAAAAAGGAAAAUAAUGUCAAUUGUUUCUAUAUCACUUGAAUAGGCACGGUUCAUCUGUAGUGUCCUUCAAUUAUUAGACCACAUUCAAUAUUAUUUUAUGGAUGCCUGCAACUUCCAAUUAAAUAUAUCACCAUAUAUCUAUCUGAUUUGUAUUUGUAAUCUACAAACAAGACAUCCUAAUUAUUUGUUCGAAGAUACUAUAGUCUUGUUUUCUCUGCCGUGUCUUCUCCUUUUCUUAAUAGUGUCACUGCCUUUGAUUUAUCUGCUCAGUUGUGCUAGUUAGAGUUGCUGGUAAAUAUGAACUAAUGGUUGAUCCACCCUGCUGUCCUCGCUGCACUGCAUGCAAAAUCAUUGGGUCGGUACUGGGAGUACCUCAUUUAUGAUGGAUCUUAUGCUUCAAAGCUUAUUUUUAUUGUUUAUUAUGUUUUACUGUACUAAUUUGGUAAACAUACUGCUUCAGUAUCUUCCAGUAGGUGCCUCAGAAUUAUGCAGUUUAUCAUACCAUACUGCUACUCAAAUAAAAAUGUCUAUCUUUGUGUUCUACACUGAAGGUAUCAUAUGAAGUUUAAUUAUUUUAAGCGUUCAUCACCAAAACUACUUUGUUUGUAGUGAAAGGCUUCAUAAAAUUUCAGAGACGUUGCACAUCAUGAGACUAACAUAUAGUAGAGGAAAAGAUGCAACCACGACAUGUCUUGGCCUCUCAACCUUUUCUGUUAUAUGUCAUGUUUCUAUUAAUUAUUUUGCUUGACAUGAUUCUGCCAAUGGUAACUUUGAUUUUCUCUAACAGGAAGGAACAUAAGUAUUUUUAAUGAGCCUAAAAAACCAUAACAGAGACGUAGCUCUUGCUACAGUUGUAAGUUGUGAUCCUAAAUUUGAACUUGAUGGUGCUGAAAUUACUAAUGAAUUCUGGGUAGUGCAUGUCGAUAUGAAACUUGUGAAAACUGAAGAUUGGGUACAGAGUCGCAAAAACUGCAACUCUUGGUAAUGCAGAUUUGUUUUUGCAUGUCAACCUUUGUAAGUGACUAAUAUCGUGUCUCUAUCAGUACUUGUGACAUGCAUUGUGUGUUAACAGUUCAUUUUGUUUUUUUGUUUGUAGAUUCAAAAGAUAAAUGGAUGAUUCUAUGGGUGUGUGUGGCAAGUAUACUACAAUGAUGAUGAUGAUGAUGUUCCUGUUCAUGAUGAUGAAGAUAGAUGGUUUCAAUUUUAAUUAAGUUGUAGGGAUGAUGUUCCUGUUGGACGAUGUUUGUCGAUUGUGUUUUAGUUAAGUUGUAGGGAUGUUGAUGGAUGCUUUCAAUUUAAGUUUCGUUGUCAAGAAAAUAUUUUGAUUAUAUAUCCAUUUGGAUGAUUUUCCUUGUGUAAUAUCCAUUAUUGUAAUCCAACAAUUUUAUCUAAUAUAUGAUUCUUCCUCCCGCGAGUA